rnacentral:rRNA from 1 species
GACGAACGCUGGCGGCGUGCUUAACACAUGCAAGUCGAACGGAAAGGCCCUGCUUUUGUGGGGUGCUCGAGUGGCGAACGGGUGAGUAACACGUGAGUAACCUGCCCUUGACUUUGGGAUAACUUCAGGAAACUGGGGCUAAUACCGGAUAGGAGCUCCUGCUGCAUGGUGGGGGUUGGAAAGUUUCGGCGGUUGGGGAUGGACUCGCGGCUUAUCAGCUUGUUGGUGGGGUAGUGGCUUACCAAGGCUUUGACGGGUAGCCGGCCUGAGAGGGUGACCGGCCACAUUGGGACUGAGAUACGGCCCAGACUCCUACGGGAGGCAGCAGUGGGGAAUAUUGCACAAUGGGCGGAAGCCUGAUGCAGCAACGCCGCGUGCGGGAUGUCGGCCUUCGGGUUGUAAACCGCUUUCGCCUGUGGCGAAGCGUGAGUGACGGUAAUGGGUAAAGAAGCACCGGCUAACUACGUG